rnacentral:rRNA from 1 species
CAGUCGCCGCGGGAAUACGUAGGUCCCGAGCGUUGUCCGGAUUUAUUAGGCGUAAAGCGAGCGCAGGCGGUUAGAUAAGUCUGAAGUUAAAGGCUGUGGCUUAACCAUAGUACGCUUUGGAAACUGUUUAACUUGAGUGCAAGAGGGGAGAGUGGAAUUCCAUGUGUAGCGGUGAAAUGCGUAGAUAUAUGGAGGAACACCGGUGGCGAAAGCGGCUCUCUGGCUUGUAACUGACGCUGAGGCUCGAAAGCGUGGGAGCAAACAGGAUUAGAUACCCCCGUAGUCCCUGUCUCUUAUACAC